GCGCCAGUAGCAUAACGGAGAGUGCACAGGGCUACGGACCCUGGUUUGUGGGAGUUCAAAUCUUCUCUGGCGUA
rnacentral:tRNA from 1 species